rnacentral:lncRNA from 1 species
AGAGGUGUCUGAGGACUCAUGAAACAAGAUAUAUUCUCGGCUACUGAGCUCAAAUGGUGGACUCCACAAGCCGGUACUGGAAGACUGCAUGUUGCUUUGAGCAAGAAGGAUGGUCGAUGGGAAUGUUUGCAAUGUGUCGAUGUCUACCCAGAAGAUACGCAUUCUGCCGAUGGCUGUACAUGACUGGAAAUACCUGAUCAUUUAAAGGGGUUCUGGCUGUCUCUAUCCUGACCCUGCCCACCGACAGGCCUCUCAUCAGAGCUCCUCCUUUGGUGGGAAUGGUCCCAGUGCCGGUCUCACUCACUGUUCGGACCUCUCCUGUGCUCCUGUUCUGAUGGCUCCCGGUGCUGCUGAUCCUUGCUGCUGAUCUUCUCGUCCUCUCCGUGGAUGGUCCUCACGUUCCUGCUUCACUGUGACUACGGAGUAGUGGGGACUCUGGCUUUUCUUAGCCCGAGGAGACUUGCUUCUUCUCCCGAAGUACUUGCUUUUCGUUUUGGCUGGGAACAGGCUCACUCCCAGGGCUUGGCUUGGACCAGCUCAGAGGUGGGCAGGGACAGGGACAGGGACAGGCUAGCGGCUGGUGCACGACCAGUUCGGGGCUCAGAGGCUCCUGCUUCACUACCAUAGUCGCCUGACCUCUUGUGACCCAGAAAAAAGUUCUAUGUCUUAAUCUGCAGGCAGCCAGAAGCAGACUGAGCCACACUGGGUGUAGCUUGAGCAUAUAAGACAUCAAAUCCCGCUCCCAUAGUGACACACUUCCUCCAAUAAGGCCAUACCUCCUAACAGUGUCAUUUAUGGGACUGUGGGGGGUCUUUUUUUUUUUAAUCUAGGUUUUGCAAACAUGAGGAAGAAAAUGAUGUCUAUGGCCUAUAGAAUGUCAAAAAAAAAUGGAGUGUCAAAAA